UGGGGAAUAUUGCACAAUGGGCGCAAGCCUGAUGCAGCCAUGCCGCGUGUAUGAAGAAGGCCUUGGGUUGUAAAGUACUUUCAGCGGGGAGGAAGGCGACAAGGUUAAUAACCUUGUCGAUUGACGUUACCCGCAGAAGAAGCACCGGCUAACUCCGUGCCGG
rnacentral:rRNA from 1 species